rnacentral:rRNA from 1 species
UGAGGAAUAUUGCGCAAUGAGCGAAAGCUAGACGCAGCAACGCCGCGUGGACGAUGAAGGCCUUCGGGUCGUAAAGUCCUUUUCAGGGGGACGAGUGAGGACGGUACCCCUGGAAUAAGUCACGGCUAACUACGUGCCAGCAGCCGCGGUAAAACGUAGGUGGCGAGCGUUAUCCGGAUUCACUGGGCGUAAAGCGCCUGCAGGCGGUCUUGUAAGUGGGAUGUGAAAUCUCCUGGCUUAACUGGGAGGGGCCAUUCCAUACUGCGGGACUGGAGGGCAGAAGAGGGGAGUGGAAUUCCCGGUGUAGUGGUGAAAUGCGUAGAUAUCGGGAGGAACACCAGUGGCGAAGGCGACUCCCUGGUCUGCUCCUGACGCUAAGAGGCGAAAGCUAGGGGAGCGAACGGGAUUAGAAACCCCGGUAGUCCUAGCCAUAAACGAUGGAUACUAGGUGUUGGUGGUCCUAACCCCAUCAGUGCCGAAGCUAACGCGUUAAGUAUCCCGCCUGGGGACUACGGCCGCAAGGUUA